rnacentral:rRNA from 1 species
UUAAAAAGCUCGUAGUUGGAUUUCUGAGAGGGUGCCAAUGUCCGCCGACGUGCGUGCGCAGCGGCGCCCUUCCAUCCUUCUGUUAACGCCUCUUGGCAUUCAUUUGCUGGUGGCGGGCUCAGAUAUUUUACCUUGAGAAAAUUAGAGUGUUUCAGGCAGGCUAGGCCGGAAUACAUUAGCAUGGAAUAAUGGAAUAGGACUACGGUCUCUUAGUUGGUUUGAGGGACUGCAGUAAUGAUUAAUAGGGAUAGUUGGGGGCAUUAGUAUUUAAUUGUCAGAGGUGGAAUUCUCGGAUUUGUUAAAGACUAGCUUAUG